GACCUUUCAUCUUAUUUCUCAUCUGCUGGUCCCAUCAACCCUAACUUUGUAUCUGCUAAAACUCAGGAUGUGAUAGGUUAUAUUGGGCAACAAUGACAACAAUUCAGUGGGCUAAAGAAAAAGUUUAAUUUCUGCUGAUAUUGCAUAUCCAACAAGGACUGGAAGAGGGAAUCUUCACUUUGGACCCUAAAAGGUCCAGCCUGAUUUUGAAAUUUGAAGACAAAUUGAUAGGUGGAAACACGAUUCAAGAGAAGGUGAACACACCAUUGUUACUACAGACAGAAGAUGGAUUGAGGGAAGAGUGGCUUAUUUAAUUGGUGAAUUUUAGAGAAGAAAUUGAGAAUGUCUGCUACUUUUCAUCCCUCCUGAAACUACUACUAUUUUUAGAGGUGCCUAACAUGUUGACCUGCUCUUUGGCUUCUGAAUCUAAUUGGAAACCAUCUUGGAACACACAUGUUGUAUAAAAUGAGAUACCACUAUCUGCAUCUUGUGCCUUUUGUAACAAUAUAAUAAAAUUGUCAUAUAUUGAUUGCCGGA
rnacentral:lncRNA from 10 species